rnacentral:lncRNA from 1 species
CCGUUUUGGCUUUUCAGGCUAUAGACUAGACAAUUUUGAUACCCCUCAGACAAGAUACUUGUGUCAGUGUCUAGGUAAACACAGCUUUAAACAUAAAAUUCAUUUCCAAACUAUUCGAUGCACCCUUCUCCAAUUUCCCAAGUUCAUGCAAGGGUUUCUUAGAAUAUAUUUCUUCUUUUUACCGAUCAGAAAAAUAUAAUCCCUCCCGUCCUUUUUAGUUUUAAUUUGGUAGUUCAGCAACAGGAAAACUUGAUACAUUUUGUGGCAAUUGUCAACACCUUAACCAUUCAAUGAAAAGACUAAAUCCCACAGGUAGGCCAGCUUGUUUGGGC